AUGCAAGUCGAACGAGUUUCAUUUGGUAGCAAUACCGAGCGAAGCUAGUGGCGAACGGGUGCGUAACACAUGAGUCAUCUGCCCAGAAGUGGGGAAUAGCUCGGCGAAGGCCGGAUUAAUACCGCAUGUGGUCGUAAGACCAAAGCCGGGGCAACCUGGCGCUUUUGGAGGAGCUCGUGGCCUAUCAGCUAGUUGGUGAGGUAACGGCUUACCAAGGCAACGACGGGUAGCUGGUCUGGGAGGACGACCAGCCACACUGGAACUGAGAUACGGUCCAGACACCUACGGGUGGCAGCAGUCGAGAAUUUUUCUCAAUGGGGGAAACCCUGAAGGAGCGACGCCGCGUGGAGGAUGAAUGCUUUCGGGUUGUAAACUCCUGUCAUUUGGGAACAAGGCCUUACGUUAACUGCGUGGAGGAUUGAUAGUACCAGAAGAGGAAGAGACGGCUAACUCUGUGCCAGCAGCCGCGGUAAUACAGAGGUCUCA
rnacentral:rRNA from 1 species